AGUGAACGCUGGCGGUAGGCCUAACACAUGCAAGUCGAACGGCAGCACAGUAAGAGCUUGCUCUUACGGGUGGCGAGUGGCGGACGGGUGAGGAAUACAUCGGAAUCUACUUUUUCGUGGGGGAUAACGUAGGGAAACUUACGCUAAUACCGCAUACGACCUACGGGUGAAAGCAGGGGAUCUUCGGACCUUGCGCGAUUGAAUGAGCCGAUGUCGGAUUAGCUAGUUGGCGGGGUAAAGGCCCACCAAGGCGACGAUCCGUAGCUGGUCUGAGAGGAUGAUCGGCCACACUGGAACUGAGACACGGUCCAGACUCCUACGGGAGGCAGCAGUGGGGAAUAUUGGACAAUGGGCGCAAGCCUGAUCCAGCCAUACCGCGUGGGUGAAGAAGGCCUUCGGGCUGUAAAGCCCUUUUGUUGGGAAAGAAAAGCAGCAGGUUAAUACCCCGCUGUUCUGACGGUACCCAAAGAAUAAGCACCGGCUAACUUCGUG
rnacentral:rRNA from 1 species